ACGCGCAUAAGACCUGUCCGAGGCUAUGAUGCCCAUGGACUUGGGAUGGGAGCGAGUAGGACAGGCACGCAC
rnacentral:sRNA from 12 species